rnacentral:rRNA from 1 species
CCUCGGAAACGGGGGCUAAUACCGAAUAUUACUUCUGGCCGCAUGGCUGGUGGUGGAAAGUUUUUCGGCUUGGGAUGGGCUCGCGGCCUAUCAGCUUGUUGGUGGGGUGAUGGCCUACCAAGGCGACGACGGGUAGCCGGCCUGAGAGGGCGACCGGCCACACUGGGACUGAGACACGGCCCAGACUCCUACGGGAGGCAGCAGUGGGGAAUAUUGCACAAUGGGCGGAAGCCUGAUGCAGCGACGCCGCGUGAGGGAUGACGGCCUUCGGGUUGUAAACCUCUUUCAGCAGGGACGAAGCGAGAGUGACGGUACCUGCAGAAGAAGCACCGGCCAACUACGUGCCAGCAGCCGCGGUAAGACGUAGGGUGCGAGCGUUGUCCGGAUUUAUUGGGCGUAAAGAGCUCGUAGGCGGCUUGUCGCGUCGACCGUGAAAACUUG